GCGGGUAUAGCUCAACGGUAGAGUGAGAGCCUUCCAAGCUCAGGACGAGGGGUUCGAUUCCCCCUACCCGCUCCA
rnacentral:tRNA from 1 species